UUGCCCUAGUAACGGCGAGUGAAGCGGCAACAGCUCAAAUUUGAAAUCUGGCUCCUUUGGGGUCCGAGUUGUAAUUUGUAGAGGGUGCUUUGGCGUUGGUUGUGGUCUAAGUUCCUUGGAACAGGACGUCACAGAGGGUGAGAAUCCCGUACGUGGCCGCCAGCCUCCGCCGUGUAAAGCCCCUUCGAUGAGUCGAGUUGUUUGGGAAUGCAGCUCUAAAUGGGAGGUAAAUUUCUUCUAAAGCUAAAUAUUUGCCAGAGACCGAUAGCGCACAAGUAGAGUGAUCGAAAGAUGAAAAGCACUUUGGAAAGAGAGUCAAAAAGCACGUGAAAUUGUUGAAAGGGAAGCGCUUGCAGCUAGACGUGCCUUGGGUUGAUCAGCCGGACUUUUGCCCGGUGCACUCUUCCUUUGGCAGGCCAGCAUCAGUUUGGGCGGCUGGAUAAAGGUCUGUUAAACGUGACUUCCUUCGGGGAGAGCUUAUAGGGCAGACGACAUGCAGCCAGCCUGAACUGAGGUCCGCGCAUCUGCUAGGAUGCUGGCGUAAUAGCUGUAAGCGGCCCGUCUUGAAACACGGACCAAGGAGUCUAACAUCUAUGCGAGUGUUUGGGUGUCAAGCCCGAGCGCGUAAUGAAAGUAAACGGAGGUGGGAACCUUUUAGGUGCACCAUCGACCGAUCCUGAUGUCUUCGGAUGGAUUUGAGUAAGAGCAUAGCUGUUGGGACCCGAAAGAUGGUGAACUAUGCCUGAAUAGGGUGAAGCCAGAGGAAACUCUGGUGGAGGCUCGCAGCGGUUCUGACGUGCAAAUCGAUCGUCAAAUUUGGGCAUAGGGGCGAAAGACUAAUCGAACUAUCUAGUAGCU
rnacentral:rRNA from 1 species